GGCGCCCCAUCUAAAUUCUUAAUAAAAUGUAUCUACGUAGCUUAUGUAAGUACUCCUAAAGGGGACAGCAGAGAGAGAACGAGCAAGAGCGGGCAAGGAUUUCCACCUUCUCGAAAAGACUUCCCGUGGUCAGUAGGGAGCUGAUGCGAAGACAGGCAGCAGAGAAAACCAGCGCUAGCGCUGAAUUCACUGGAUUUGCAGAGCCUCGCGAAUUUACUGAUAGGAGUAAGACGGCACGGAUGUGCGCACGCUCGUGCGCAUGCGCUCCUCGCCCGCCACCCUUGCCAGUUCCCGCCCCCACUGGGAGAGUGCCUGAUACCACAAGAGUCACAGCUUGCCUCUGAGGCCAGUGUGGCUACUGGAUAACCUGAAAUCGUGCCUGUGGUUUGCAUUAUGUUUUAUUGGACAGCACUGACUUGAUCGUCCAGAGCCAAAUUCCAGGCUGUGGAGAUUAAGAAGAGGAGUUGACACAUUUGGUCAAAGCUGGGGGAAAUGCAGCAUAGGCUUGAGCUCAUGCUGCAAACGCCAUCAAGCUCACCCACUAUGUGCCAUGGACUGUGCUGGGUGCUAGGGACCCAGCAGUAAAGAAGACUUGGUUCCUGCCCAGAGCAGGGGAGACACACACCGGAAGGAAAAUAUAAGGCAACGGACAAAUGCUCAACCCAGGUCUCAAGCUUAUUACUCUAGGAGUUGAAAGGUGGAAGUGAGUCUCCCACUUCCUCAAUCUUAACGUGGCAUUUACAAAUGAGGGAGCCAACCAAGCACUGCAGCCCUGAUAUUUUUGGAAACAAUGGUAGAAAAUAAGUCACCUCAGCUUUUCUAAGUUGUGAAACAGAAGCUACAGAAAAGGGAACCCUCCUCGUAUUCCUGGGCCUGACACAGAUUCACAUUCUCUGAAUAAUCUCAAAAACUGCUUAUUGUAACAGACCACGCAAUUUAGAAAUUUAUUUUAAGACCUGUUACUCUCUGAUUCAUGUGCUUGAAGGCAAAUUACAGGAGUCGUUGUAAUAAAAAUGCUUAGGCUGAUCAUAAUAAAACAAACUAGCAUGAGUUGAGAA